ensembl:lncRNA
AUGGAUUUCAUAACUGGUAAUAAAAACAAAGGAAAAUCUAAAAACAUAAUUAAAAUGUUAAAUGAUUUGAGAAUGACUGGUGCAAGGCCAGUGAUUAAUUUUAUAACAUAUUGGGACAACGUAAAUGAAGGGGAGGAAUCAUUCACGGCAGUAGAGUUCAUUGGUGUGGACGGAAGUUGCUUUUACAAGACGUUGGAACAACGGCGACCUGAUUCUGAAUCUGCAGAAAGUUCGGGAGAAAGCAUGGCUGAUCGAAGGAUUCCUCGUAAAAGGGUACCACCCAAUCGCCUUGUUGAGGAAAAUGAUGGAGCAUCAGCAACAGCACCAACUCAACAGGUGUCCCUUCAAAAAAUGAAGGAGGAAAAUGCUUUUUUAAAAGCUAAAAUUAAAUUCUUAGAGGACAAAUGCAAGGACAUCGAAAGUGAGAGAGAUUUCCUGCGUAGCAGUCUGACCAAUGCCUUGUCAGCAAAGGAAGACAUGAUGGGAGCUUCCUGCAAACCCAAAUAUGAUGAUCCUGUGUCACAGUCUUCCAGUACAGAAGAUGACCUUCAUACAGAACGGAAAAAGAAGACAAAGAGUAGAGGAAAAGUUGAGAGGAAAAAAAAACAUUGCAAAGUUGACUCAUUUUCCUCCUCUGAAUCAACCUCAUUCUCAUCUCAAUCCUCUUCAUCCCCUGCACCCCGAAAAUCCAGCAAAAAUAAGGAUAAAGCCAAGAAAAGGAAUGGGAAAAAAAAGCAGAAAUGCACAAGAGGUAUGUAUUUUAAAUGUCCUUACAGUAAUCUUUGUGUACAGUUCCCUAUACAUCUAUGUUUCAUUUUAUUUAUUUGUUUAUUUAGCAACACAUUGCAGUGAAAUGGGACAGGCUGAUACUUUUUUUGGAUGAAAUAUAAUACACAUAAACAGAGUAAGGAAGGGUGACUGAUGACUGAUUUGCAGAUCCUGAGCACCACUGAAAAAACAUCUUGUAAAUCUUGUGAACUUGUGCCCAACCCUAGUUUAAAUUUAUAACCACAUUAAGUUUCAGACCCUAAAAAUGCAAGCACUGAAAAUACAAUGCAUUAAAAUGCAAGCACUGUUAAUGCAAUGGAUUUUAUUUAUAAUUAGUGCAAUUCAGAUGUUUUUUUUAUUAUUAUUUUUCAAAUACAUAUGUCAUUAAUUUACUUUCAUACCCUAAAGCCUCUAAAGCUGUUAAUUCAGAUUUGGUAAUGGGAUUUAAUUUCUGAUAUAUGCUGUUGACCUACCACUACAAACUGGGUAAUCUGACCAAUCAGAGCUGGGUAAGCUGUCGGAAAGGAGGAGUUAAGAGGGUUAAGAGAAGAGAGAUGAUACUGCAAUGAACAUU